rnacentral:rRNA from 1 species
AAGAAACCAACAGGGAUCGCCCUAGUAACGGCGAGUGAAGCGGCAACAGCUCAAAUUUGAAAUCUGGCUUCGGCCCGAGUUGUAAUUUGCAGAGGAUGCUUCUGGCGCGGUGCCUUCCGAGUUCCCUGGAACGGGACGCCACAGAGGGUGAGAGCCCCGUAUGGUCGGACACCAAGCCUGUGUGAAGCUCCUUCGACGAGUCGAGUAGUUUGGGAAUGCUGCUCUAAAUGGGAGGUAAAUCUCUUCUAAAGCUAAAUACCGGCCAGAGACCGAUAGCGCACAAGUAGAGUGAUCGAAAGAUGAAAAGCACCUUGAAAAGGGGGUUAAAUAGUACGUGAAAUUGUUGAAAGGGAAGCACUUGUGACCAGACUUGGGCCGGGCGGCUCAUCAGGGGUUCUCCCCUGUGCACUCCGCCCGGCACAGGCCAGCAUCGGUUCUCGUGGGGGGAUAAGACCGUUAGGAACGUAGCACCCUCCGGGGUGUGUUAUAGCCUGGCGGACGAUACCCCCGUGGGGACCGAGGUUCGCGCUCCGCAAGGAUGCUGGCGUAA